CAAAACCCGGUGGCCCAGCCCAAACCGCCAAAAACCGAAAAAAAUAAGAUAAUUGGGCGGUUUCAAAUGGGUGAACGGUUUGAACGGGCCCAGAUGCGGUUUAAAUCGGUUUUUAAUGGGCGGGUCCGGUUGAAUAAAGCUGAACCGCAGGUGUCCUGGCCCGCCCGUUUCACUACCUAUGUAAAAUUAGGUUUAAUGAGUUUCCACUUAACCACUCACUCUCUCACUUGCCUGGGAGAAAACAUUUUUCUUCUCAUCCCUCACGCCUCAGAACCCUAGCCGCCACAGAACCAUGACCACCACCACUAUUACCAAUCAUCACCAUUCACCAUAAGUCAGCCACGAUAACCACCUCCACCACUCACCUUCAUGAUACAGAGGUUUUCAUCUCUCACCAGUCAAAAUGGAUAAUCUUGUCAUCCUCGUGAAGUUGUAUUCUUCAAUGUUAUGUUGUUUGCAAGGUUAACAAACCUGUCAUCUACGUGGAUCUUCAUCGUUCAACAUUCUUCUUCUUAUUUGCACGUGUUAAGUUUCCUCCUCAGUUAUGUGUGUCAUUUUGUUCAAGAUGAUUUGGUUUGCAGCAGGACCAUAUUGUUCUAGGGUGAUAUUCAGGGUAUCAUUCUAAUUAGGCUGCAUAGGGAAACAAGUCAGAUUUAUAUUAAUUGUGUGAAUAAAUCUGAUUUAUUUGGUAUAUUUUCCUCUAAAAAGAUUUGAUACAAAUGUUAUUACUUAAUUUUGUUAUAUUUUGUUUGCAUUUGCGAACAAGAAAAAGUAUGUAGAAUUAUCUCAUAAAAGAAGAAACAAGAUAUUAUAUAAUCUUAUUUUCUUUUCUUUUGUUCUUGUUUAAUUGCUUCUGUACAGGAUAAAGAAGAUCAGCUGAACUCAAGAUCUGCAGAGCCAUUGAUCAAAAAUUGAUGAAGAAAUUAAAUGCUUCCCUUAUUUUCAAUGAUACUGUUAUUUAAUUUUUAUUUGUUUGUAAUGGCUUGUGUUUAUUUUUGGGAUGA